CGUCUUCUGUAUCUCCUGUGCGUGAAAAUGGCACGAGAAAGGCUGUAGAAGAAAAUGUCGUGAAGAUGGAGGCCCUGUUGCCUGUCGAGACCUGUUUUCGAUGCGGUCAUCGCUACGCAUUUCGCCUGUCGCGCUUUGGGUGUGUGUUCUCGUGUGCAUGCGACGAGUGCAUCGACGUGCUGAAAGUGGCCGCGGCCUUCUCCGCCGCCGUGCGUGGACGAACAGCCGCGGUGCCGUUUGUCCCGGUUAUGUUAUCCCCAUCCUGCGAACUCACCUUUUCCAUGAAGAUGGUGUCUGUGGAGGUGGACUUUGUGCGCGAUCGUGUUUCCGCCCACUUCCGGAACUUUCACGACGCUGAAGUGGCGCAGAUAGCGUUUAGUCUUUCCCUCGCACUUCGCGAGCAACUGGCACGGAGUGGGGUAGUUCUGACGGGCCCAGCACCAGUGAUUGACCAGCUCACUGAGGAGCUUCUUGAGUCCGCACAAGAUCCCGCGCUUCCGUUCUUUGUGAACCCGCCGCCGCCUGGCCUGCGCAAAGCUGUAGCUGGCAUUCUCAGCUGUGCAGUGCCCGAAACCAGGCUCGAUCGGAUUCCACAUCUCCUUCGUCGCGCUAUGAAAGCCCAUCAAGUAGAGGGUGUGAGGACGGCGCUGCGAUGGGGAGGACGGAUUCUUUUUGCUGACGACAUGGGUGUUGGAAAAACAAUGCAGGCAUUGGCCACCGUGGCAGCACUCGAGGCCUAUCCGCUUCUCAUUGUAUGUCCCUCGGCGUUAAAGCUCAUGUGGGCAGACCUAAUCGAGCAGUACCUGCACGAGCAGGUGUCUGUCGAGGAGAUGCACCCGAUUCACGGCGCCAAUGACGCGCUCAGUAUUGACUCGCAGCCAAAGGUGGUGCUGGUGAGCUAUCACAUGGCAGCGGUACUAGAGAAGCAGCUGCAGGCUCGCAGCUGGAAGUGUCUCUUGUGCGACGAGAGCCAUCUUCUGCACACAAAUGUUAGCGGAGCUGAUGCAACCUAUACACGUGUGGUGGUAGCUAUCGGGAAACGGGCGCCUCACUGUCUCCUGCUUUCUGGAACGCCGGCUACGGAUAAUCCAUUUGAUCUGUUUAACCAGAUUGACACGCUCCGGCCCAACCUACUCGGGGAGUCGCGCUUUGAGUUCGCGAUGCGGUACUGCCAGCUCACCUUCUCUCCCUACUUGCAGGUUGGAGAGUCGACGAGGAGGGUAGAGUUUUCAUCGCUGCUGCGCUCCUGCUGUAUGUUGCGCCGCCUCAAGGAGGAUGUGCUGGAGCUGCCACGAAAAAGCAGAGUUGUGAUGCGGGUAGCACAUCGUAUUGGCCCGCACAGUGGCGCCCGCUGCAGCGGGGAAGCGCCGUAUCAGGAGCGGUACGCGAAUAGCUGGAAAGCAAACUGGAACGGCAUCGCGGAAGCAGUGGAGCACUGCUGCAGCAAGUACGACCGCGUUGUGCUUCUGGCGCACCACAUCGAGCUGAUUGACUCACUUGUGCAGUGGGCUCGUGACCACUGCAAGCGCGCGGUACGCAUCGACGGGCGAGUGCCGGUGCAACAGCGUGGAGAUCUCCUACACGCUUUCCACCGCGGGGAGGCGAGAAUUGCGGUAAUCGGGAUUACGGCGUGCGCGGUGGGUAUUUCGCUAGCACCGGCUCAGUGUGCUGUGUUCUGUGAGCUCCCCCCUGACGCGGCGUGGAUGCGGCAGGCAGAGGAUCGCCUGCAUCGCCCUGGACAGCGCGACGAGGUUGUUGUAUACUAUCUGCUAGGGCUCCAUUCGCAGUUUGACGCCGAGCUCUUUUCCCGCUUGUGCAGGAGCCUCUCCGAAGCGGAGGAGUCUAGAGGCGCAAGUCUCUCGCUUUCGCAAAUCGCACACGCGUCCCACCCAGCACUGCAGCUGAAGCCUGCUUCCAACGCGCAGACGCAUGGCUCAGUGCAGCCAACAGCGGAGCCUUUGCUCUUUUGUAUUAGCAAAAACACCGGUCGCAUCCACGUACGCGCAAGUAGAUCGACUGGCUUUUACACCACGUUUCCGUGGCAUGAGGCAAGACAGUGCGUGCAGAAGCGCCAGGACCUAGUGUGGCAGCAGCUGGACACUUUCCUUGAAUCCGUUGCUCGCCUUUCACCGUUUCAUCGGAGGCAACUCGUCCUUUGCCAGGCGUGGCUGCCACCUGUCUUCCAGUGGAAAAGCAGCGGAGUGGCUGCCUCCGCUCCACGACGGCGCAACCGCUAUGCGAAAACACUGACUGUUGGAUGGGGGGUGUGGUGGGAAGUGCGCCGAUUGUACUUUCCCACGCGUUACUACUUUGGUCCCCUCACUGCUGCUGCGAACAAUGAAUACGAGGCGGGCUGCCUGAACUGCGCGGCGAGCCUCCCACAGCUCGAUCGAGGUGCUUACAUCUUUGUGCCCGGGGCAAUUUGCGGUGCCGCCAACGGCGAUUCUGAGCUCUUCUGCUCAGGUAAGUGUAGGCUGUCGUUUUUUAUCCGGCGGUCUGGUGGGGCGAUACGCCGCAGUGUUGCGGGUGUAGACAAGAGUGUUUGCUCGCACUGCCACGUUGACUGUGAGACACUGUGCACCUCCGUAGCAGCAGCGGCAGGGAGACGAGAGCGUGUGGCUGUGAUUGGGAAGCUGCACCCGCAACUGCUGCAAUUCCCCGCUCUCUGCGAGAAGGUCGUCUCGAAUCCUAUCCCUGGGAAUUUCUGGCACGUUGAUCACGUGGUUCCCGUUGCAUGGGGUGGGGGCGAGGCGACUCUAGACAACCUGCAGACGCUGUGUGUCGUCUGUCACGCCCUCAAAACCCAUGAAGAUAUGAGGCAACUGCGACAGAAGCGUGCACUGUUGCCUGUCCAAGGGCCGGUGGAUCGAACAACAGUCGACGUCGCGUGGAUAAAGGUGACUGCUUCCAGUGGCUCACGGGUCACAUGGCGCAAAGUAUGAACUUCCACUUGCGCAGACAUGCAGCGUGCCCGCAGCAACCAUUGUCGAAGACGUUCUUUUUGCUGGUGUUGGGGCUAUCUGUUCUUUCGUUCCACCCCCUCCUCCUUAUUCCGUGUCGAUACUGCCAGCUCAUGUGACUGUGAAACGGCGACACUUUUUCCAUCCACUUUUCCUUUGUUCGAG
rnacentral:misc_RNA from 1 species